AUUGAACGCUGGCGGCAGGCCUAACACAUGCAAGUCGAACGGAGUGGCGGACGGGUGAGUAAUGCCUAGAAAUCUGCAUGAUAGUGGGGGAUAACGUCCGGAAACGGGCGCUAAUACCGCAAACUAUCAGAUGAGCGUAUGUCGGAUUAGCGAGUUGGUGGGGUAAAGCCGUACCAAGGAGACGAUCCGUAACUGGUCUGAGAGGGUGAUAGGCCGCACUAGAACUGUGACACGGCCCAGCCUCCUACGGGCGGCAGCAGUGUGGAAUCUUGCACAAUGGGCGAAAUCCUGAUCCACCCAUGCCGCGGGUGUGAUGAAGGUCUUCGGAUUGUAAAGCACUUUAAUUUGGGAGGCGUUACCAACAGAAUAAGCACCGGCUAACUUCGUGCCAGCCGCCGCGGUAAUUC
rnacentral:rRNA from 1 species